GAGUCUCGCUGUGUCACCCAGGCUGGAGUGCAGUGGCAGGAUCUUGGCUCACUUCAACCUCCACCUCCCGAGUUCUGCCUCAGCCUCCCAAGUAGCUGGGAUUACAGGUGUUUGAACUGAUGUCUGAUGAGGAUGAAUCCAGCGACUACCUCUGCCUGUCCAUCCUGGGCCUCUUCUGUUGCCUUCCCCUAGCCAUCCCAGCCGUGAUCUUUUCUUGCCUGACAAAGAACUACAAUAAAUCCAGUGACUAUGAGCUGGCAGCCAAGACCUCCAAACAAGCCUACUACUGGGCCAUCGCGAGCAUCACUGUGGGAAUCUUAGGUACCAUCUUGUACACCUACCUGAUAUACUUACUUAGAUUGUAAACUGCUUCCCAGCUCUUGAACAAACCACCAAAUAUACACCACAGUGCAA
ensembl:lncRNA LINC01766 long intergenic non-protein coding RNA 1766